ensembl:lncRNA
GAUUAGACACUCUGACCCUGCUGAUCACACACAUGGCCCUGGAUUCCUUUCCCUCAUGGCAACUCUGUCUGGAUCCUAAAUAAAGAUGGCCUGGCUUCCAGGUCAAGGUUGAUGGGGUUGGGACAGCAUCUUGGCCUGGCUGGAUGCUGUAUCCUGUGCAGAGCUGGCUCCCUGGUCUGAGGCCGGGCCGUGAGCCCCAUGUCAGCUCCUCCGCUCACUCAGUAGUCGCUUGAUGACAUCCAGGAUAUCAGGUGAGCAGCCUGGUAGCCUACUGGGGGAUGACAAAGACCUGCUCUUCUAGCCAAUAACCACAGCCACCAUCCGUGCAUUUGAAGCCACUUCAGGGCACAUGGUCUGGGCAGAGCCACCCGAUGAAGGCAGCCACAUGAAGGAGGAAGAGAGACAAAGAGUUGCAGCUGAUGUACUCCAGGCACCUCAGAUGAACUCCUCGGCCGAGGAAGGAUCUGGUAUGGGGAUCUCGCUGCUUAAGGGGAGCCGAGAGAAGAGAUUUGCACUCUCCCUUCCCAGCUGGACAUCAAGCCACAGCCACGCAAUGGGAUGAGGAAUCUGCAGGCAGCCCUCCAAAUUUCCACGAGGGCCUGCAAGACUCCAGAGUGGGUACUGAAGCAACGGAGCUGAAGACAGGGGCUGUGCCGAGAUGUCGCUGCUGGAGGCAGACCUGUGAAACCCCCCGACAGGAACCGGCAGUGGAUGUCACGGCAUCUUCAAGGAAAGGCGGAAAAGGUGUUUAAAAAAUCCCAGUUCACUAAACUGGAGUUAAUUUGCCUGAAAUUGCACCGAUAAAAUGUCUAUGUUUUGACAAAAUAGGGGUUUAUAAACAAAAAUUGAAGUCUGGUGAUGUCCAUAUUAACUGCGUAUUCAAACUUAGCACCACCAAGAAUGGGAAAAGUUGAAAUGUGUUUUCUGGUAUGAUAUAAUGGGACUUCCCUAGUAUUGCUGAUAAUACCCUGGCCAAAAGGACUUACUAUGAAUUUAAUCACAAGGAAGCAUUCAGUACUGAUGACACGAGCUGUCUCAAUGUCAGCAUUAAGUGCACCCAAUACUAGUAGGUUUUGUGCUUUUAAUAAGCUGGAAUUUAUCUCUAUAUGAAACAAAUUAAUAAUUGUAUUCCGCCACUAGGAGAGUUUAUGUGCUCCUCCUACACCAAAUCUCCCACUAUACUUCCAUUAGCAAGUGAGUCUUGUUUUGGGUAGCAGUUUCUUGGGCACAUCCUUUUGCAAAAACCCCAGAGCUAUGCAGUUAAGGCGCGUGUGUAUUUUACCAUGUAUAAGUUGUGUUCCCUUUUAAAAAAGUGUCCUGAUUUAAAUGAUAAAUUAUAGUUUUCCUAGUUAUAAGGAUGUUUUGGGGAUUUUUUUUUGACAGGCAGAGUGGACAGUGAGAGAGACAGAGAGACAAAGAGAAAGGUCUUCCUUUUGCUGUUGGUUCACCCUCCAAUGGCCGCCGCGGCCGACGUGCUGGGGCUGGUGCACCACGCUGAUCCGAUGGCAGGAGCCAGGUGCUUCUCCUGGUCUCCCAUGGGGUGCAGGGCCCAAGCACUUGGGCCAUCCUCCACUGCACUCCCGGGCCACAGCAGAGAGCUGGCCCGGAAGAGGGGCCACCAGGACAGAAUCCGGCGCCCCGACCGGGACUAGAACCCGGUGUGCCAGCGCCGCUAGGUGGAGGAUUAGCCUAUUGAGCCGCGGCGCUGGCCGUUUUGGGGAUUAUUGCAGAAAUUUGCAUAGGGAGUAUUACAUGAUACCAUAGCAAUAGGAAAUUUCUUGGUUUGAACUAUUGUGGUUGUGUAGGAAUAUGUCUAUAAUAUAUAAAGAAUAUUACAGAAAGGCUAAUGAUUGGUCAGUGAGAUACAGAACAAAUACACAUGUACCAGUUUUCAGUUUUGAAAAUUAUAAAAUAAAAAUUUGGAAAAAUAAACA